rnacentral:rRNA from 1 species
UACGUAGGGUGCAAGCGUUAAUCGGAAUUACUGGGCGUAAAGCGCGCGUAGGCGGCUGUUUAAGUCGGAUGUGAAAUCCCCGGGCUCAACCUGGGAACUGCAUACGAUACUGAUCGGCUAGAGUAUGAGAGAGGGAGGUAGAAUUCCACGUGUAGCGGUGAAAUGCGUAGAUAUGUGGAGGAAUACCGGUGGCGAAGGCGGCCUCCUGGCUUAAUACUGACGCUGAGGUGCGAAAGCGUGGGGAGCAAACAGG